AGUGAACGCUGGCGGUAGCCUAACACAUGCACGUCGAACGGCAGCACAGUAAGAGCUUGCUCUUACGGGUGGCGAGUGGCGGACGGGUGAGGAAUACAUCGGAAUCUACUUUUUCGUGGGGGAUAACGUAGGGAAACUUACGCUAAUACCGCAUACGACCUACGGGUGAAAGCAGGGGAUCUUCGGACCUUGCGCGAUUGAAUGAGCCGAUGUCGGAUUAGCUAGUUGGCGGGGUAAAGGCCCACCAAGGCGACGAUCCGUAGCUGGUCUGAGAGGAUGAUCAGCCACACUGGAACUGAGACACGGUCCAGACUCCUACGGGAGGCAGCAGUGGGGAAUAUUGGACAAUGGGCGCAAGCCUGAUCCAGCCAUACCGCGUGGGUGAAGAAGGCCUUCGGGUUGUAAAGCCCUUUUGUUGGGAAAGAAAAGCAGCAGGUUAAUACCCCGCUGUUCUGACGGUACCCAAAGAAUAAGCACCGGCUAACUUCGUG
rnacentral:rRNA from 1 species